GACGUUUCUUGCUUCGGAUUUCCACACACUCCUGUCUCUGCCACGUCGAGCUCCGUGGGGACCCGCAGGUUCCUGUGAGCACAGUGAAGACAUUAUGA